GACGAACGCUGGCGGCGUGCUUAACACAUGCAAGUCGAACGAAGUGGCGAACGGGUGAGUAACGCGUAAUCAACCUGCCCUUCAGAGGGGGACAACAGUUGGAAACGACUGCUAAUACCGCAUACUGAAGGAGGGGUUUGCGUCGGAUUAGCUCGCUGGGGGGGUAACGGCCCACUAAGGCGAUGAUCAGUAGCCGGGCUGGGAGGAUGAACGGGCAAAUUGGGACUGGGAAACGGCCCAGACUCCUACGGGGGGCAGCAGUGGGGGAUCUGCCGGAAUUGAGGAAAGUCUGACGGAGCAAAGGCGCGGGAGUGAUGACGGCCUUCGGGUUGUAAAGCUCUGUUAAGCGGGACGCGGUACCGGAAGAGAAAGCCACGGCUAACUACGUGCCAGCAGCCGCGGUAAUAC
rnacentral:rRNA from 1 species